UGUAUGUUGUUCCUUCAGCAGCAAUUAAUUUCACUGUUUAUGAACAAACGAAAAAUGCAUUUGUAUCGGGAACAGCAUGGUACGUGCCAGUGUU
rnacentral:sRNA from 1 species